rnacentral:lncRNA from 1 species
AACAAUAACUAAAGCAUAGAAGGAAGGCUAAAAUAAGAAUUCAGAAACUAUAAACCGGCUCUCUUCUAGCUUACGACACAAACUAUGAGUGAGAAAAGGACAAAUGAUUCGCUCUUUGCUUCAUUUUUUCCGAGGUUGUCACAACAUGAAAUGUCAUUUGGACCUAUUGGACUCAUUUUAAUUCGGCCAAAUACAUAGUAACAUACAUAAGAAGAUUUUACUUAUAUUUACCGAACUAUUUGACACGGUCGCGUGAACUUUGUUUACGAGUGUCUUGUGUUCAGAUUGUUUUAAGUGAUAAUUUAACAAUAUUUUUCCAAAUAAAUGGAAAGAAACUUUUAUUUAUAUCAAAUAAUUGAGUGUCUCGACUCUGUGACAUUAUGUCUUGUGUGGUAUGGGGCUGCAGCUCACAUUCAAGAAGAAAAGAAAAUAGCCAACAACUUCUGUCGUUUCAUCGAUAUUAAAUCCAAAAGUGUCGACUGGAUUUACAUGAAAAGUCAGUUCAAGAAGACGAGAUGAAAAAUUUAAAAGAAAAGCUGAACAAGUCACGCCUCAAGAUCAAACGACUUAAUGAAAAAAAAAAUCAAUGUGACAGGGUGUCACAAAGACAGUUUCUAAACAAAUUGACACUUUAGAAAUUAAUAAAUUUGUAUUUAUUGUAAAUAUAAUGUACAUAAUUAAUAACGUGUAUAAUAAAUACUUGCUAAUGAACAGAUUUACGAUCUAAUUUAUAUUUCAUUUUACCUCCUGUUCUUAUUUACUCCUACUCCAACACUCCAGGUUGAUACGAACUGCGCCCAAUAAAGAAUGUAAUGAAUGUUAUAGAUUUGUGUAAGCGACUUAGAUAAAUCUUGACUAAACCUUCCUUUACAAAUACAAAUAUACUUUAUUGCACACAACAUACAAUACUUACAAGUUUUACACGAAAGAUACAGUACACCACCUACCUACCUUUUACUUUCCCUUUCUGUUCUCUUAUGAAUACUUGUAUGCCGUAUUUUUUUUAAGUAUAAUGCUAUAUCUAGUAGGUACGAGUAUGGUAAUCCUAGUAUUGAAACAGCUUGUAGCCCUAGUAAAGACCGCCAUUUUAUGUUUACAGAGUGGCACGUUUUUUCUGUAGGUAUUUCCAGUCCAUACUCUUUUCUAUGUCUAUGGCGUGAGCCCAUCGGGCCUCUUACCGUCUGUGCGGCUUAGACCCGGCGGUUCCAAUUUGCACGGCACGUCGAUCGACACCAGUGCACGGCGGAUGACAUCAUAAAUAAAUUCGAAUAUUACAAAAUACUUACCGAUGAAACGAUAACAGUUGGCUAUUUUCUUUCCUUCCUGAAUGUGAGCUGCAGCUCCAAACUAAUAUAAACCAGACAAUAUAAUCCAAAAAUGGUUAGAUACUUACCUAUCAGAGACAGAGUCUCCUUUCAUCAAGAAGAAGAUAAUUGCAUCCUACAAAAAGAAAUCUUGUAAAAAAAAAAUUAUCGACAUUAAUUGUAAGUAAAUUUAAUUUUAUCGACAUAUUAGUAAAGUGAAACCCAACACUAGGCAAUGAAAAACUUGUGACAACCUACGAAAUUACGAAACAAUUUUUGUAUAUGCGUCUUUGUCUAACAUUACGCCGGUUCCGUAAGAUAAAGUAGAGCAGAAUUAUAGAGUUCUGUUGCUAUUUUAGCCUUCCUUCUAUGCUUUAGUUAUUGUUCUG